UACGUAGGGUGCAAGCGUUAAUCGGAAUUACUGGGCGUAAAGCGUGCGCAGGCGGUUUUGUAAGUCUGACGUGAAAUCCCCGGGCUCAACCUGGGAAUUGCGUUGGAGACUGCAAGGCUAGAAUCUGGCAGAGGGGGGUAGAAUUCCACGUGUAGCAGUGAAAUGCGUAGAGAUGUGGAGGAACACCGAUGGCGAAGGCAGCCCCCUGGGUCAAGAUUGACGCUAAUGCACGAAAGCGUGGGGAGCAAACUGG
rnacentral:rRNA from 1 species